rnacentral:rRNA from 2 species
CUGAGACACGGCCCAGACUCCUACGGGAGGCAGCAGUGGGGAAUAUUGCACAAUGGGCGGAAGCCUGAUGCAGCGACGCCGCGUGAGGGAUGACGGCCUUCGGGUUGUAAACCUCUUUCAGUAGGGAAGAAGCGAAAGUGACGGUACCUGCAGAAGAAGCGCCGGCUAACUACGUGCCAGCAGCCGCGGUAAUACGUAGGGCGCAAGCGUUAUCCGGAUUUAUUGGGCGUAAAGAGCUCGUAGGCGGUUUGUCGCGUCUGCCGUGAAAGUCCGAGGCUCAACCUCGGAUCUGCGGUGGGUACGGGCAGACUAGAGUGAUGUAGGGGAGACUGGAAUUCCUGGUGUAGCGGUGAAAUGCGCAGAUAUCAGGAGGAACACCGAUGGCGAAGGCAGGUCUCUGGGCAUUUACUGACGCUGAGGAGCGAAAGCAUGGGGAGCGAACAGGAUUAGAUACCCUGGUAGUCCAUGCCGUAAACGUUGGGCACUAGGUGUGGGGGACAUUCCACGUUUUCCGCGCCGUAGCUAACGCAUUAAGUGCCCCGCCUGGGGAGU